GAUGAACGCUAGCGGCAGGCUUAACACAUGCAAGUCGAGGGGUAUAGAAAGCUUGCUUUCUAGAGACCGGCAAACGGGUGCGGAACACGUACACAACCUACCUUUAUCAGGGGGAUAGCCUUCGGAAACGGAGAUUAAUACCCCAUAGUAUUAUGGAGUGGCAUCAUUUUAUAAUUAAAGAAUUUCGGAUAGAGAUGGGUGUGCGUAAGAUUAGCUAGUUGGUGAGGUAAAGGCUCACCAAGGCAACGAUCUUUAGCUGAUGUGAGAGCAUGAUCAGCCACACGGGCACUGCGACACGGGCCCGACUCCUACGGGAGGCAGCAGUGAGGAAUAUUGGUCAAUGGACGGAAGUCUGAACCAGCCAUGCCGCGUGAAGAAUGAAGGCGUUCUGCGUUGUAAACUUCUUUUAUUUAGGAAGAAACCACUUUUUUUUAAGAGUGUUGACGGUAUUAAAUGAAUAAGCACCGGCUCACUCCGUGCCAGCCGCCGCGGUAAAAC
rnacentral:rRNA from 1 species